rnacentral:rRNA from 1 species
CCUGGCUCAGGAUGAACGCUAGCUACAGGCUUAACACAUGCAAGUCGAGGGGCAGCAUGGUCUUAGCUUGCUAAGGCCGAUGGCGACCGGCGCACGGGUGAGUAACACGUAUCCAACCUGCCGUCUACUCUUGGACAGCCUUCUGAAAGGAAGAUUAAUACAAGAUGGCAUCAUGAGUCCGCAUGUUCACAUGAUUAAAGGUAUUCCGGUAGACGAUGGGGAUGCGUUCCAUUAGAUAGUAGGCGGGGUAACGGCCCACCUAGUCUUCGAUGGAUAGGGGUUCUGAGAGGAAGGUCCCCCACAUUGGAACUGAGACACGGUCCAAACUCCUACGGGAGGCAGCAGUGAGGAAUAUUGGUCAAUGGGCGAGAGCCUGAACCAGCCAAGUAGCGUGAAGGAUGACUGCCCUAUGGGUUGUAAACUUCUUUUAUAAAGGAAUAAAGUCGGGUAUGGAUACCCGUUUGCAUGUACUUUAUGAAUAAGGAUCGGCUAACUCCGUGCCAGCAGCCGCGGUAAUACGGAGGAUCCGAGCGUUAUCCGGAUUUAUUGGGUUUAAAGGGAGCGUAGAUGGAUGUUUAAGUCAGUUGUGAAAGUUUGCGGCUCACCGUAAAAUUGCAGUUGAUACUGGAUAUCUUGAGUGCAGUUGAGGCAGGCGGAAUUCGUGGUGUAGCGGUGAAAUGCUUAGAUAUCACGAAGAACUCCGAUUGCGAAGGCAGCCUGCUAAGCUGCAACUGACAUUGAGGCUCGAAAGUGUGGGUAUCAAACAGGAUUAGAUACCCUGGUAGUCCACACGGUAAACGAUGAAUACUCGCUGUUUGCGAUAUACUGCAAGCGGCCAAGCGAAAGCGUUAAGUAUUCCACCUGGGGAGUACGCCGGCAACGGUGAAACUCAAAGGAAUUGACGGGGGCCCGCACAAGCGGAGGAACAUGUGGUUUAAUUCGAUGAUACGCGAGGAACCUUACCCGGGCUUAAAUUGCAGAUGAAUUACGGUGAAAGCCGUAAGCCGCAAGGCAUCUGUGAAGGUGCUGCAUGGUUGUCGUCAGCUCGUGCCGUGAGGUGUCGGCUUAAGUGCCAUAACGAGCGCAACCCUUGUUGUCAGUUACUAACAGGUUCCGCUGAGGACUCUGACAAGACUGCCAUCGUAAGAUGUGGGGAAGGUGGGGAUGACGUCAAAUCAGCACGGCCCUUACGUCCGGGGCUACACACGUGUUACAAUGGGGGGUACAGAGGGCCGCUACCACGCGAGUGGAUGCCAAUCCCCAAAACCUCUCUCAGUUCGGACUGGAGUCUGCAACCCGACUCCACGAAGCUGGAUUCGCUAGUAAUCGCGCAUCAGCCACGGCGCGGUGAAUACGUUCCCGGGCCUUGCACACACCGCC